UUCCCUUGCUUCUAAUGGUUAUCACGUACCAACCCAAGUGGCUGCCGCCUUAUUAAUCAUCAUGUAUGUUUUUAGUAGAGAUAUGAACAACUGAUACUUAAAGUACUGAAGCAAUAUGUUUUAGAAGUUACAUAUUUUAGAAAACUAUCAUAAUUAUUCAAGGGAAAAAGGUUUAGCUUUUAUGUGGGCUCUAUUUGAUAAUGAUUUUUACCCCCAUUUGACAUCUCAUGUAACAAUGUACGGUGAUAGUAACUAAAUUUACUGUGGUAACCAUUUUGCAAUAUAUAUAUACAGCAAAUCAUUAUGUUGUACAUAUAAAAAGUAUUACAGUGGUACAUGUCAAUGAUGUCGCAAUUAGAAAAACUUUGAUUUAAACAUAGAACAUUGACAUGAGAAUCUUAAAGAAGAAUCAGACUGGACCAUAGAAAUAAGCCCACUUAUUUAUUAUCUACAGAUUUAUAGAAACGUUUAAUUUUUUUUUGAGGUUUAGUGGAUCUGUUUCUAUUCGCAGUGCUGAAAACCCUUCAACUAUCUCACUGUUUGCUAGCAGGUGAACUUGUAUACUCUUGUUUUUCUUCUAGAUUCAUGAAAAGCUCUACUACUAUGAGAAGUAGAACCCUGUGCCCAUCCUCCACAGCACAGCAGUCUUGGCUGAUGAUGUCUGUAUGAGCUGUUGGCUAUUCUGCCAGUCCAGCUGGGGCCACUUGUGGACAGCCAGGAAGACCUGACCUUCCUCUGGGAUAUGUUUGGUGAGAAAAGCCUGCAUUCACUGGUAAAGGUAAAAACCAUACUGAUGUCA
rnacentral:lncRNA from 12 species